rnacentral:misc_RNA from 1 species
CAGAGUUUCCAAAACUCCCUGUAAAACCUUGUGAACCUACCUGUACGUCGUUGCUUCGGCGGGUAGCCCCGUGUAGGGGCCUCCGCCUCACACUCAGUGAGGUGCCCGCCGGAGGACCACAACCUUAAACUCUUGUUAUUUCAAUGGAAUCUCUGAGUAAUAUACAAAAUAAGUUA